rnacentral:rRNA from 1 species
GGCGAGUGAAGAGGGAAAAGCCCAAAUUUGUAAUCUGGCUCUUUUAUGAGGGUCCGAGUUGUAAUUUUGAGAACUGUUUUCUGUGCUGGACCAUUUCUAAGUCUGUUGGAAAAUAGCAUCAUAGAGGGUGAUAAUCCCGUAUGUGAUAUGGACUACCAGGGCUAUAUGAUACAGUUUCUAAGAGUCGAGUUGUUUGGGAAUGCAGCUCAAAGUGGGUGGUAAAUUCCAUCUAAGGCUAAAUAUAGGUGAGAGACCGAUAGCAUACAAGUACCGUGAGGGAAAGAUGAAAAGAACUUUGGAAAGAGAGUUAACAGUACGUKAAAKUGUUGUAAGGGAAACACUUAAACUUAUCGUUGUGCUUGUCAGUUCAGCCCUCUUAUCAGGGUGUAUUCUGACAAAACACGGACCAACAUCAGUUUUUGAGUGCUGGAUAAGGGUCUUGGGAAUGUAGCAGUCUAGGCUGUGUUAUAGCCCAGGAUUUAGAUACAGUGCUUAGGACUGAGAGAUAUUUGCAGCAAG